rnacentral:misc_RNA from 1 species
GAAAUGCGAUAAGUAAUGUGAAUUGCAGAAUUCAGUGAAUCAUCGAAUCUUUGAACGCACCUUGCGCUCCUUGGUAUUCCAUGGAGCAUGCCUGUUUGAGUGUCACGUGAAUCUAUCACCUCCCUUCGGGGUUGCGUGGACUUGGGCGCUGCCGGCCGCUUGCGGUCGGCUCGUCUCGAAAUGCAUUAGCCUGCAGAGUGUUUGCUGGGCCUUUGGCGUGAUAGUACAUUUCGCCGCUGCGCUCUGGUGACGUCUGGCUCUGGGCUCACAAUGACGAGCGUCUCGCUCGAUUUCUUUUUACGCUCUGGCCUCAAAUCAGGUAGGACUACCCGCUGAACUUAA